rnacentral:misc_RNA from 1 species
GAUGCACUAGAUCGCUCUGAGCCUAGAAGUCUGACAACUUACGAUUGGUUCUCUUUUUUUAUAUUUUAUUUUUUUCUUAUAAUAACAUUAAUGCCCCUGUCCCUCCAAUGCUUAAUUCUAUAGCAUCGUUUAUGGCUUUGGAUUAAAAUACUAAUUACAUGCGUGUUCUUGCAGGAUUGUGAUAAGUGCUUACUUGGAUUGU